rnacentral:rRNA from 1 species
GCUGGCGGCGUGCCUAACACAUGCAAGUCGAACGAGAAAAGGGGAGCAAUCCUCUGAGUAAAGUGGCGACCGGGUGAGUAACACGUGACUAACCUACCCUCGAGUGUGGAAUAACAUCGGGAAACCGAUGCUAAUACCGCAUAACAUCGCAAGAUCAAAGGAGCAAUCCGCUUGAGGAGGGGGUCGCGGCUGAUUAGCUAGUUGGCGGGGUAACGGCCCACCAAGGCGAAGAUCGGUAGCCGGCCUGAGAGGGCGCACGGCCACACUGGAACUGAAACACGGUCCAGACUCCUACGGGAGGCAGCAGUGGGGAAUUUUGCGCAAUGGGGGAAACCCUGACGCAGCAACGCCGCGUGGAGGAUGAAGCCCCUUGGGGCGUAAACUCCUUUCGACCAAGACGAUAAUGACGGUACUGGUGGAAGAAGCACCGGCUAACUCUGUGCCAGCAGCCGCGGUAAUACAGAGGGUGCAAGCGUUGUUCGGA